rnacentral:rRNA from 1 species
GUCGAGAAUCUUUCACAAUGGGGGCAACCCUGAUGGAGCGACGCCGCGUGGAGGAUAAGGUCUUCGGAUUGUAAACUCCUGUCAUGCGUGAACAAGGUUGCUUGGUUAAUACCUGGGCAAAUUGAUGGUAACGCAAGAGGAAGAGACGGCUAACUCUGUGCCAGCAGCCGCGGUAAUACAGAGGUCUCAAGCGUUGUUCGGAAUCACUGGGCGUAAAGGGUGCGUAGGUGGCGUGGCAAGUCAGAUGUGAAAGCCCGGGGCUCAACCUCGGAACUGCAUCCGAUACUGCCAUGCUAGAGUACUGGAGAGGUGACUAGAAUUCUCGGUGUAGCAGUGAAAUGCGUAGAUAUCGAGAGGAAUACCAAAGGCGUAGGCAGGUCACUGGACAGUUACUGACACUGAGGCACGAAGGCCAGGGGAGCGAACGGGAUUAGAAACCCCAGUAGUCC